AACCCUCUUGUUUAGAUUUGCACUGCAACGCAACUCUAGACGCGCAUCUCAACAUUGCACAUCAACAAAAACUGUCUGGAUCUAGGAUUCUCCAUGGUAGUCUCAAAAUGAGUUCCUCAACAUUUUUGCCGAAUCGUUCACCUGCGUAGGGCGUCGAAAAUGCAAGCAUGUGUUUGUGCGAGAAGGUCCAGCAAUCAUCGGGUUGGAAAUA
rnacentral:lncRNA from 1 species